UCAGGAUGAACGCUAGCUACAGGCUUACACAUGCAAGUCAGGGGCAGCAUGUGGUUGCUUGCAACCAAUGAUGGCGACCGGCGCACGGGUGAGUAACGCGUAUCCAACCUCCCCUUAGUAGAGGAUAGCCCGGCGAAAGUCGGAUUAAUACUCUAUGUUCUUCAAUGCGGACAUCUAAGUUGAAGCAAAGAUUUAUCGCUAAGGGAUGGGGAUGCGUCUGAUUAGGUUGCAGGCGGGGUAACGGCCCACCUGGCCUACGAUCAGUAGGGGUUCUGAGAGGAAGGUCCCCCACACUGGUACUGAGACACGGACCAGACUCCUACGGGAGGCAGCAGUGAGGAAUAUUGGUCAAUGGGCGCGAGCCUGAACCAGCCAAGUAGCGUGCAGGACGAACCUGCCCUAUGGGUUGUAAACUGCUUUUAUCAGGGAAUAAAGUGAGGCACGCGUGCCUUUUUGUAUGUACCUGAUGAAUAAGGACCGGCUAAUUCCGUGCCAGCAGCAGC
rnacentral:rRNA from 1 species